rnacentral:tRNA from 1 species
GGUAAAAUGCCUGAACAAAGGGUUAUCGUGAUAGGAUAAACAAUGUAACAUUUUUACUUUUACCA